UGGGGAAUAUUGGACAAUGGGCGAAAGCCUGAUCCAGCCAUGCCGCGUGUGUGAAGAAGGUCUUCGGAUUGUAAAGCACGUUAAGUUGGGAGGAAGGGCAUUAACCUAAUACGUUAGUGUUUUGACGUUACCGACAGAAUAAGCACCGGCUAACUCUGUGCCAGCAGCCGCGGUAAUACAGAGGGUGCAAGCGUUAAUCGGAAUUACUGGGCGUAAAGCGCGCGUAGGUGGUUUGUUAAGUUGGAUGUGAAAUCCCCGGGCUCAACCUGGGAACUGCAUUCAAAACUGACUGACUAGAGUAUGGUAGAGGGUGGUGGAAUUUCCUGUGUAGCGGUGAAAUGCGUAGAUAUAGGAAGGAACACCAGUGGCGAAGGCGACCACCUGGACUAAUACUGACACUGAGGUGCGAAAGCGUGGGGAGCAAACA
rnacentral:rRNA from 1 species